rnacentral:rRNA from 1 species
GAUUAACGCUGGAGGCGUGCAUAACACAUGCAAGUCGAACGAUGAAACUUUAAUGAACCCUUCGGGGAGAAUUAAAGCGGAUUAGUGGCGAACGGGUGAGUAACGCGUGAGUAACCUGCCUUACACAAGGGGAUAGCCUUUGGAAACGAAGAAUAAUACCCUAUAAAACCAUAAAAGCACAUGCAAUUAUGGUCAAAGUGAUAGCGGUGUAAGAUGGACUUGCGUCUGAUUAGCUAGUUGGUGAGAUAAAAGCCCACCAAGGCAACGAUCAGUAGCCGGCUUGAGAGAGUGUACGGCCACAUUGGGACUGAGACACGGCCCAGACUCCUACGGGAGGCAGCAGUGGGGAAUUUUGCACAAUGGGGGAAACCCUGAUGCAGCGACGCCGCGUGAUUUAGAAGGCCUUCGGGUUGUAAAAAUCUUUUGUAUAGGAAGAAAAUGACAGUACUAUACGAAUAAGGUCCGGCUAAUUACGUG